rnacentral:rRNA from 1 species
UAACACAUGCAAGUCGUACGAGAAAGUUGGCUUCGGCCGAUGAGUAAAGUGGCGCACGGGUGAGUAACGCGUGGAUAAUCUACCCCUCAGUUGGGAAUAACUCAUCGAAAGGUGGGCUAAUACCGAAUAAUACUGCAUGACUUCUGUUGUGUAGUCAAAGAUGGCCUCUGCUUGCAAGCUAUCGCUGAAGGAUGAGUCCGCGUACCAUUAGCUAGUUGGUAGGGUAAUGGCCUACCAAGGCAACGAUGGUUAGCUGGUCUGAGAGGAUGAUCAGCCACACUGGAACUGAGACACGGUCCAGACUCCUACGGGAGGCAGCAGUGAGGAAUAUUGCGCAAUGGGGGCAACCCUGACGCAGCAACGCCGCGUGAGUGAGGAAGGUUUUCGGACCGUAAAGCUCUGUCGAGCGGGAAGAAAUGCAUAGUGGCUAAUAUCCAUUAUGCUUGACGGUACCGCUAAAGGAAGCACCGGCUAACUCCGUG